rnacentral:rRNA from 1 species
GAAAACCGGUUCUCGUUAGAUCACCGAAGUCAAGCAUCAUUGGGCGCGGUCAGUACUUGGGUGGGUGACCACCUGGGAACAUCGUGCCGUUG